rnacentral:rRNA from 1 species
UUGACCUCGAAUCAGGUAGGAAUACCCGCUGAACUUAAGCAUAUCAAUAAGCGGAGGAAAAGAAACCAACAGGGAUUGCCCCAGUAACGGCGAGUGAAGCGGCAACAGCUCAAAUUUGAAAUCUGGCUCUCGGGCCCGAGUUGUAAUUUGUAGAGGAUGCUUUUGGUGAGGUGCCUUCCGAGUUCCCUGGAACGGGACGCCAUAGAGGGUGAGAGCCCCGUCUGGUUGGACACCGAUCCUCUGUAAAGCUCCUUCGACGAGUCGAGUAGUUUGGGAAUGCUGCUCUAAAUGGGAGGUAUAUGUCUUCUAAAGCUAAAUACCGGCCAGAGACCGAUAGCGCACAAGUAGAGUGAUCGAAAGAUGAAAAGAACUUUGAAAAGAGAGUUAAAAAGUACGUGAAAUUGUUGAAAGGGAAGC